AAAGCGGCUCUUUUCAGAGCCGCUUAUAUUAUUUACCAACGUUUU
rfam:Chryseobacterium takakiae strain DSM 26898 genome assembly, contig: Ga0131160_101